CCUACGGGAGGCAGCAGUGGGGAAUAUUGGGCAAUGGGCGCAAGCCUGACCCAGCAACGCCGCGUGAAGGAAGAAGGCUUUCGGGUUGUAAACUUCUUUUGACAGGGAAGAGUAGAAGACGGUACCUGUCGAAUAAGCCACGGCUAACUACGUGCCAGCAGCCGCGGUAAUACGUAGGUGGCAAGCGUUGUCCGGAUUUACUGGGUGUAAAGGGCGUGUAGCCGGGUUGACAAGUCAGAUGUGAAAUCCUGCGGCUUAACCGCAGAACUGCAUUUGAAACUGUUGAUCUUGAGUACUGGAGAGGCAGACGGAAUUCCUAGUGUAGCGGUGAAAUGCGUAGAGAUUAGGAGGAACACCAGUGGCGAAGGCAGUCUGCUGGACAGCAACUGACGCUGAGGCGCGAAAGCGUGGGGAGCAAACAGGAUUAGAUACCCUUGUAGUC
rnacentral:rRNA from 1 species